GAAAGGCGCUCACCUUUGAUGUGAUGUCGAUGUUUCCUCUUCGCUGGUUUCGUCUUUUGAAACUGGACUAGCGACAGGCACUGAGCAGCGGAUCGUUUUAUAUCGUCUGGGCCUGCACCGAAAAUAGUCCCACAUGACGCUGCAGUGAUUGGAGUCACAUGCGCGGUUCACGUGUGUACCUGAUUGGACACGAGGGGAGCUCUGCAUAGACAUGCACACAGACACCGCGCGUGACCCACCUGAUUAUCACCUGCAGAUCAACACAGAUCGGAGAACUCGGACUUUGUCGUGCAUCCAAUCACAUGAUGAGUAUAUUUAAUUUCCCUGACCUCGAUCACGGGAUUUAAACUAUUUAACUUGGCGCGGGUGAAGGAUAGUAAAUCAGAUGGAAGGGAAUAAAAUAAAGAAAACUGCGAAAGCUUUCUUGAACGGAGCCUGAAACCCUUCACAGUUAUCAUUUUAUUAUGCUGCAAAAAAAA